ACUCCAGAGAAAAAUACCACUCUACCCGAAUUCAGUUCUGUCAAAGGCAAGCUACUAGUUUGAAAAUGAUAGUUCCGACUAUAUGAUGAUUUAAGUCGAUAUGAUGAAGGCUACAUAAUUGAAACUUAUCACAGGGUGUAGUAUGGAGGCUGCCUAGUUCGCCCGCAGGCCUUUACGAGAUUUCGGCAGAAAUGAAGAUCGCGUACAAAACUAAUAGCCCGAACAUGGGUCGUAGCAAGUCUUCAGGUUUUCUUGUGGCUUAUGUCAAGGAUGGUGACGACGUAUGUUCAACACGACAGAGGAAUCGAGGCUAAGACAAAAUUUGAAGCCUUUUCCAUAAAGUAAGGACCACCAACGUCACGAUGGACCCGAAUGAAACGUUGUUAACGAAGAGUUGUUUUUGCGCAUGUCACUCACAUAUAAAUGCAGACGUUAGUAAAGAUUGAUAGAAGGAAAAACGGUUGAAAAUGUACUAGAGUAGCAAAUAAAUGAAUCUCACGGAGUCUCCAGCUGUCAUGUUGUAAAGCGGACGCUUUGGUUGCCAAUGGUAUAAAGUAAAGGAAAGCAAACAUAGCAACAAAAGCUAAAAACGGAAAGAUGCUCUUGUAAGGUUUCGGUCUCUAGCUAGAAUCCACACAAGUCGUGUAUAAGAACAUAGAAUAAAAUUCUUAGUGUUGCUAU